rnacentral:rRNA from 1 species
GUUGACCUCGGAUCAGGUAGGACUACCCGCUGAACAUAAGC